GGGUCCGUAGCUCAGCCUGGACAGAGCGUCCGGCUUCGGACCGGAAGGUCAGGGGUUCGAAUCCCCUCGGACCCG
rnacentral:tRNA from 1 species